GCUCAAAUUUGAAAUCUGGUACCUUUGGUGCCCGAGUUGUAAUUUGGAGAGUACCACUUUGGGACUGUACUUUGCCUAUGUUCCUUGGAACAGGACGUCAUGGAGGGUGAGAAUCCCGUGUGGCGAGGGUGUCAGUUCUUUGUAAAGGGUGCUCGAAGAGUCGAGUUGUUUGGGAAUGCAGCUCUAAGUGGGUGGUAAAUUCCAUCUAAAGCUAAAUACAGGCGAGAGACCGAUAGCGAACAAGUACAGUGAUGGAAAGAUGAAAAGAACUUUGAAAAGAGAGUGAAAAAGUACGUGAAAUUGUUGAAAGGGAAGGGCAUUUGAUCAGACAUGGUGUUUUGCGCCCCUUGCCUCUCGUGGGCUUGGGACUCUCGCAGCUCACUGGGCCAGCAUCGGUUUUGGCGGCCGGAAAAAACCUAGGGAAUGUGGCUCUGCGCCUCGGUGUAGAGUGUUAUAGCCCUGGGGAAUACGGCCAGCCGGGACCGAGGACUGCGAUACUUGUUAUCUAGGAUGCUGGCAUAAUGGUUAUAUGCCGCCCGUCUUA
rnacentral:rRNA from 1 species